CAGGCCUAACACAUGCAAGUCGCACGAGAAGGGGCAACCCUGAAAGUGGCGCACGGGUGCGUAACACGUAGAUAACCUGCCCUUUGGAGGGGGAUAACGUUCCGAAAGGAGCGCUAAUACCGCAUAAAGCAUUCUGGGGUUUGCUCUGGGAUGGCAAAGGUAGGGACCCGCAAGGGCCUAUCGCCGAAGGAGGGGUCUGCGGCCCAUCAGCUAGUUGGUGAGGUAAUGGCUCACCAAGGCAGAGACGGGUAGCUGGUCUGAGAGGAUGAUCAGCCACACUGGUACUGGAACACGGACCAGACUCCUACGGGAGGCAGCAGUGGGGAAUCUUGGUCAAUGGGCGAAAGCCUGAACCAGCGACGCCGCGUGAGUGAUGAAGGCCUUCGGGUUGUAAAGCUCUGUGGGGCGAGACGAAAACGCACAGUCUAAUAGGCUGUGUCUUGACGGUAUCGCCUUAGCAAGCACCGGCUAACUCUGUGCCAGCAGCCGCGGUAAU
rnacentral:rRNA from 1 species